rnacentral:rRNA from 1 species
GACGAACGCUGGCGGCGUGCUUAACACAUGCAAGUCGAGCGGUAAGGCCCUUUCGGGGGUACACGAGCGGCGAACGGGUGAGUAACACGUGGGUGACCUGCCCUCAGCUCUGGGAUAAGGCCUGGGAAACUGGGUCUAAUACUGGAUAUGACUCCACGGUGCAUGUCGUGGGGUGGAAAGCCUUGUGCGGCUGAGGAUGGGCCCGCGGCCUAUCAGCUUGUUGGUGGGGUGANGGCCUACCAAGGCGACGACGGGUAGCCGGCCUGAGAGGGCGACCGGCCACACUGGGACUGAGACACGGCCCAGACUCCUACGGGAGGCAGCAGUGGGGAAUCUUGCGCAAUGGGCGAAAGCCUGACGCAGCGACGCCGCGUGAGGGA